GGGUUCAUUGCACCGCGUACCCAGAUCACGUUAUCUAGAGAGGAUUUGCAGCAGGUUGCUAUGUGUGACUACAUCGGCAACCAGGGAAUGCUGUUUGGAAUGAUGUAUACUCUUCUUUAAUCUAAUUAACCUUAUAUCAAAUUAUAGUUAAAUUAUUAUAAGACAAUAACACUUUUUUUGGCAGGCACAUAUGGGAGAGCAUCAACGGUCUGAGGAAAAUUUUCAAGUUUUACGACCCAGAGCUUCUCAUAGUGCAUGGGAUCACCGAUGAAGACAAGAGUCAGUCUUUUGACGAUGCGGCAAGACGAUUGGCUAAUUGGUUAUCAUUAAUGAACAACAACCACCAAAUGUUCUUUAUUCCUUGGAAUAUCGGGAUGCAUUGGACGCUAGUGGUGGUUACGCCAAGGAAAAUUAUCUAUUUAAACCCUUUAAGUGGCCGCCCAAUUCCCGAAGUAAUAGAACAAAUGAUCGGAAGGUAAUAAUUUAAUGACUUCUUAUGUAACGAAUUUAAAUUAACUAACGAAUUGAAAUGCUAAUAUAAUUUUCCAAAACAGGGCAUUCAUGUAUAUAGGGAACGCACAUGAGUAUCUUGGCCCGUGGCAAGGAAUUAACCAAGAAAACUGUCCAAGACAACCUAAAAGCCAAGAAUGUGGUUUUUAUGUUUUGAAAUAUAUCACUGACAUCGUCGCACGUGCCAACCCCAGCCGUUACAUACAAGAUCAAAAAGCUGUAAGUUUUAAUUAUUGAUUAUAGUAUAUAAAUUCUAUAAUAACAAAUAUAUAAUAUACAUAUACAUAAACUAAUAUAAAUUUUUAAUUUUUUUAACAUUUUGGGGGUAAGAAGCAAUACGAUCCAAAAAUAGAAUUGUUACCACUACAGCAAAAGUGGAUCGAACAAUUGAUGGCGGUGAUUCACGGUGAUGAUUGAGGUUGAAAGAUCCAAGAAUUUUUCUUCAUUAUGUAAUUUUUAUAGAUUAACUUGUAGUUAGAUUUAUUAACUUAUUAAUAUUUUUAACUAAUUUUA